CAGCAGAUGAUAGGCACCAGAGGGAAGGUGAGCCCGGUGAGGAAGGCAGUGCACAGACUUCUAACGUGCAGUCCAACGUGACAGGGACCCUGCCUGAGAUGUAGGCAGCCUCAGAUGGCCGAACACAACUCACAGUGAGGUGCCAUCCAGCUAACCUUUGGGAGCAGAUGAGCAUUGGAGGAGAUGACAGCAC